AAUUUUUAGUGCUCAGAUUCUUGUUCUUUCCUUCCCUCGUCAAACGCACGCACCGCCUCAAUUUUUCCUUCCCCUCCUUCGGCCCUUUUGAAAGUUCCAGAGCCGAGAGAGAUCGCUCCCUUCCCCUUCAUUAUUCCGGUGUCAUUCCUGUUGCCGUCGAUGGUGUGAGUGUGUGUUAGAACACCUUCCACCAUUGUUAAAGGUCCAGCUCCCGAAUUCUUCCUAUCCCCUGUUUCGCACUGCCAAUCACUCACUUUUCUGAGUGGCUGUACAGCUCGUCUGUCCAUCAACGGCUAUUCUUCCUUGCUGUCGUGAUGGGCUUCUGGUAGUGGUGAAGACGCUGGUUUUUCUGUCACCGUUCUCCGCUCUCUCCAGCUCUAAACGCGGGUCUAAAGGAGAAUCAGGUCACCCGGGAAUGAAGAGGAAGAAUUUUUGAAGAAGGUGAUUUUGUGCCACACACCACGGCUUGUGGAUGAGCUGCUAUGGUGCAUGUAUGACAACACACCUGGGAGAGGCUCUUUGUGCCAUGCACCAUAACGCAUUGUGCAUCCGCUACGGCACAUGGUUAGAUUUCUGCUGUAUUAAGUUGCAAAACUAAAGCAAAAGAGAAGAGAAAAACAAAGGGAACUGAGAGAGAGAGACGAAAGAGCUAAGCUAGGGCUUGAAGAAAUCGACUUGUAAGAGUAAUUUGGAGCUUAUAAACAUCAAAGAAUAACUACUAUUGACACCAUUCAAGCUUCUUGAAAGUUUUGGGAGUGAGUAAUUGAGAGGUGAAACUUUUAACCUCUCAAAGUUUUGAGGUAACCAGGAAAAUUCUAUCUUAUGCUUUUCUGUGUUUAUUAGUUUAUGAAUUUAUGAUUGAUCAUUGAAAUGUGUAAGUUAAAAUGAAAUGCAAGUGUAGCUUGAUUUGUUAGAAAAUUCACUAGAUUGAUUUUGUGAGUUUUAUGCCUUGUGAUGUGAAAUUCUUUGUGAACAAUAUCGGUGGAUUUUCAUAUUAUGUUUAUUGAGAGUUCAAUGACUUUGUGAUUUGACAAGUAAUAUGAAUUUUUCUUUAAGAGAAGUUCAAUGAUGUUUAAAAUAGUGGAGUUCAAUAAUUUUGAAAGUUUGAAGUACAAUGAUUGUGAAAUUGGAGUUCAAUGACUUAUUUGGUUUGAAAUUCCAUGAAAUUAUGUUUAAGAAGUCUAAUGAUUUGUCUAAUGAUGAAGUUUAAUGAAAUUGAUUAGGUGAAGUUCUAUGAAUUGUAUAAAGUUUGAAUUAUUGCAUGAAUAUGCAUUGUAUGAUCUUGAGAGGCGGGAGUUCGUCUAAGAAGAGGAGUAGAUGAUAAAAUCCAGGUGGUAAGGCCCAAUUCAUGUGAUUGUUUGCCGAAUAGAUUAUAUCUAUAUUAUCCCAUUUAUUCAACGAGGGACUGUCCCAUUAAUUCAAUGAGGGACCGGAACCUAGCUAGCUAUCCACUGGUUUAAUAAGGAAGCUAGUCUAGGGUAUAUGACACCCCAUAGUGUGAGAAAUGGAAGAAACCGUAUUCCACAAGUGAGUUGGGUAUGCCUUGGCUGGGUAAUCCUCUCACAAGUGUUUAGGUUAGGGAAGUCAUGGAAUAUAGACUAUCCUAUUAUGUUAUAACCCAUGGUUUCAUGUCAAAGGAAUAAGGAGGAUAUAAGGGAGGUGUGAUCAUGCAUGUAGUGAGUAAGGGCAAAUAGUUG